rnacentral:rRNA from 1 species
GACAGAGGAUGCAAGCGUUAUCCGGAAUCACUGGGCGUAAAGCGUGCGUAGGUGGCGCGUCAAGUGAGAUGUUAAAUCGUGGGGCUCAACCCUGUCGGUGCAUCUCAUGACUGGCGUGCUAGAGGACAGCAGAGGCAAGUGGAAUUAGCAGUGUAGCAGUGAAAUGCGUAGAUAUUGCUAGGAACACCAAUGGCGAAGGCAGCUUGGCUGGCUACUCCU